UAGAAUAUAUGUAAAAGUAAAUCCAUAAAACAAAAAAACCAAGUGCCAAAAAUAAAGAAGGAACAUUUUGAACUGAACUGUCAAUGUGAAAUAGACACAACCAACCAAAUCUGCAUAACUAGCAAGUAAACCUUAUGCAGAUAAUCAACUAAACUAGAAAGAGAAAAAAAUGGGUAAACAUCAACAUACGUAUGACUUCAGAAAAUGGCUAAACAACAACAUCUAUGUAGAGCUGUCAAAACGGGCCGGCCCGGAUGGGCCGACCCGUUUAGCCCGAAUAAAUAUAGGGCUUGGGCCUAAAAUAUUGAGCCCGAAUUUUAAUAGGGUUUUUUAGCCCGGUACCCGUUAGGGCUAGCCCGAAUGGGCCGCGGGUAGCCCGUUAGCCCGCAUAACAAAAAAAAAUUCUAUAAAUUAUAUAUAUUUUUCAAAUAAUUAUUUACUUAGUUGAUUAUCAAAGUAAAAAAAACAAAAGUGAAAAUUCAAUGAAUUAACACAAAUAUAAAUGUAAUAUAAAAUUAUAUUUAUUCAUUUCGUUAUUUAUAGUUUUAAAGAUCGAAUAUAUAAAUAUCUAUAACCAUAACAUAUCUAAUUUAUUUAAAAUCAUUUUUUUCGUCGUUUUAGUUUACGACGUUUGUACGAAAAUGUUUACAAUUUACUUUUGUGCUAGACAUUAUUUAAACAUAUUAAAAUAUUAUUUAUAAAAAAAUUAUAGUAGUGUUUUAUAGUAUUUUUUUAAAAUAAAAAAUAUAUAUAAUUUUUAAUACGGGCCGCCCCGUUUAGCCCGCGGCCCGUGUAGGGCCGGGCUCGGGUAGUAUAUUUCAAGCCCGUUUUGUCAACCGGGCUUUUUGGUCCAGCCCGCUAGGGCCGGCCCGUUUAGGGUCGGACCGCCCGUUUUGACAGCUCUACAUCUAUGACUUCAAAAUAAAUAUCAACACAGCAAAUAUGAAGACCAAACACUUCAGCAAAAGAAAUAAAACAUAUCAACUUCUGUGCUUCAAACAAAUUAAUGGAUUGAUGCAUCAAUCUUAGAAAUUAUAACUGUGGACCCUCCUUCAUUGCUGCAAAUCAACUCAAAGAGUGCACUUAACAUCUCGCGCAUAUCAAAUAAACCAUCAUUGAAGACAAUAUUGUUUCUUUUCAACCACAAAAAUCAAUUUAUUGAUGCUAAAAUAUAUGUAUCCUUGAGUAUAAGGAUAUACACAUAUAUCAUGCAUGUUUUCACACACAUGUAUAAACUAAUUAAUUAGAGUGGAAAUAUGUUUAAUUUUGUGCAACUGCCAGUACUACGAGACGAUUAUUACAUUCAAAAAUUCUUUGGAAACUCUUCACAUAUCUGUGGAAUGGAAGUCAAAUGUUGCUUGUCUAGAUGCAGUAUUACAGUGAAAGGAAAAUCAAAACAGAUCAUACCUAGCUUGCUUCACAAUAAUGAUGCUUUUUAUAUAAGUAAGGCUAAGAACACUUCAAAAAUGAUCAAUCUCGAGGCAAGUGUGUUGAUUUUUAAAAGAAUAGACCUGUCAUAAUUAGUGUGUUGAAAGAGUAUAUUCAAAAGAGUGUAUUUCUAGCAUUUCUCUUUUUGACAUUAUUUCAUGGAAUUCUAUCUUUUCAGGCUCCUUACAAAUCUAUUAUUUUUCCUCAUACUAAUAAAAUGGAAAUGGUCCUCUAUUUCUCACCCUCUACAUUACCAUAGUUUUUGGAGUAUGAAUAUAAUAAUGUGACUUUGGUGGAUUCAAAUACUCUCUAGACAGACUCUAAAACUAUGGUAAUGGAGAGAAGAAACGGAGAGGGGAAAUGGAAAGGAUCCUAACCAUAAUAAAACAAUAUUAAUGUAUUGAUUAUUGCUAUAUGAAGCUCCCCAUUUCUUUUUAGAAAUGGAGAGGAUUCUAACCCCUGUGAAAGAUGUUGGAAAGCAUAUAUAGGAAUCUUGUAACAGCAGUAAUUGCAGUAGAUAU
rnacentral:lncRNA from 1 species